CGUGAGCAACCUGCCCCUGACUCUGGGAUAAGCGCUGGAAACGGCGUCUAAUACUGGAUAUGUCCCGUCACCGCAUGGUGUGCGGGUGGAAAGAUUUUUCGGUUGGGGAUGGGCUCGCGGCCUAUCAGCUUGUUGGUGAGGUAAUGGCUCACCAAGGCGUCGACGGGUAGCCGGCCUGAGAGGGUGACCGGCCACACUGGGACUGAGACACGGCCCAGACUCCUACGGGAGGCAGCAGUGGGGAAUAUUGCACAAUGGGCGGAAGCCUGAUGCAGCAACGCCGCGUGAGGGAUGACGGCCUUCGGGUUGUAAACCUCUUUUAGCAAGGGAAGAAGCGAGAGUGACGGUACCUGCAGAAAAAGCACCGGCUAACUACGUGCCAGCAGCCGCGGUAAUACGUAGGGUGCAAGCGUUAUCCGGAAUUAUUGGGCGUAAAGAGCUCGUAGGCGGUCUGUCGCGUCUGCUGUGAAAUCCCGAGGCUCAACCUCGGGCUUGCAGUGGGUACGGGCAGACUAGAGUGCGGUAGGGGAGAUUGGAAUUCCUGGUGUAGCGGUGGAAUGCGCAGAUAUCAGGAGGAACACCGAUGGCGAAGGCAGAUCUCUGGGCCGUAACUGACGCUGAGGAGCGAAAGGGUGGGGAGCAAACAGGCUUAGAUACCCUGGUAGUCCACCCCGUAAACGUUGGGAACUAGUUGUGGGGUCCUUUCCACGGAUUCCGUGACGCAGCUAACGCAUUAAGUUCCCCGCCUGGGGAGUACGGCCGCAAGGCU
rnacentral:rRNA from 1 species